UGAUGGUAAUGAGGAUAAUUUCUAAGCAUGCCCUUGAAUCUCUCCCAAGCUUGGUAGAGAUUUUCUCCAUCUUUUUAUCUAAAACUCUAUAUCUUACUCCUCAAUCA
rfam:Capsicum annuum cultivar Zunla-1 chromosome 6, whole genome shotgun sequence